UUUCUUCCAUUGUUACAAGUGUGGUAAAGCUGCAGCUUACAUGAAUUUUGCAACUUUUUUCUUUUUAAAUUUUUAUCAUUUGAAUCCAUAUCAUAAGAUGUGACGAAAUUUUUACGCUGGUUAUCACCUACCGCAACCCUCCUCUUUAUCCGAGCUUGGGACCGGUUAAGCGCAAAUUACUCAAGUGGAGUUUCACGUGGUGUUUUAAAUAAUGGGAAAAAAGUUUUACCAAUUGACUGUUUAGUCAUAGUUUUCUAACAUAUUUAUACAUACUGAUUUUCCACCAAGUGAUGAUGGAAGGUACAGCUAGAUUUGACAUUAUUUUACGUUUUCAUUGAGUAUUGUUAUGAACCUAUUUCCUAGCUACUAUUAUUUCUCCUUUCAUUUCUUUGUGUUUGUAAAAGAAAAAAAACCUUUAAUAUGUAAUUGCCUGCAACAGACAUUUGCAGUCCUGUCUGGAGUGCACAGUUUGGUUGUCUGC
rnacentral:misc_RNA from 1 species